rnacentral:rRNA from 1 species
GUAACUAUAACGGUCCUAAGGUAGCGAAAUUCCUUGUCGGGUAAGUUCCGACCCGCACGAAAGGCGUAACGAUUUGGGCACUGUCUCAACGAGAGACUCGGUGAAAUCAUAGUACCUGUGAAGAUGCAGGUUACCCGCGACAGGACGGAAAGACCCCGUGGAGCUUUACUGUAGCCUGAUAUUGAAAUUCGGCACAGCUUGUACAGGAUAGGUAGGAGCCUUUGAAACGUGAGCGCUAGCUUACGUGGAGGCGUUGGUGGGAUACUACCCUAGCUGUGUUGGCUUUCUAACCCGCACCACUUAUCGUGGUGGGAGACAGUGUCAGGCGGGCAGUUUGACUGGGGCGGUCGCCUCCUAAAAGGUAACGGAGGCGCUCAAAGGUUCCCUCAGAAUGGUUGGAAAUCAUUCAUAGAGUGUAAAGGCAUAAGGGAGCUUGACUGCGAGACCUACAAGUCGAGCAGGGUCGAAAGACGGACUUAGUGAUCCGGUGGUUCCGCAUGGAAGGGCCAUCGCUCAACGGAUAAAAGCUACCCCGGGGAUAACAGGCUUAUCUCCCCCAAGAGUUCACAUCGACGGGGAGGUUUGGCACCUCGAUGUCGGCUCAUCGCAUCCUGGGGCUGUAGUCGGUCCCAAGGGUUGGGCUGUUCGCCCAUUAAAGCGGUACGCGAGCUGGGUUCAGAACGUCGUGAGACAGUUCGGUCCCUAUCCGUCGUGGGCGUAGGAAAUUUGAGAGGAGCUGUCCUUAGUACGAGAGGACCGGGAUGGACAUACCUCUGGUGUACCAGUUGUCGUGCCAACGGCAUAGCUGGGUAGCUAUGUAUGGACGGGAUAAGUGCUGAAAGCAUCUAAGCAUGAAGCCCCCCUCAAGAUGAGAUUUCCCAACUUCGGUUAUAAGAUCCCUCAGAGAUGAUGAGGUUAAUAGGUUCGAGGUGGAAGCGUGGUGACACGUGGAGCUGACGAAUACUAAUCGAUCGAAGACUUAAUCAAUUU